rfam:Cavia porcellus supercont2_9 genomic scaffold, whole genome shotgun sequence.
CAUUGUUCUGAUCACCUGAAGAUCAGUCACUAGAAAAGGAAGAUCAGUGAAGUUCUUUGGACCUGAUCGACUUAAUACAAGAGCUACUGAUUUCAUCUUCUUUAGCCCAACUCUCUGAAACAAUGAAGUAUACAAGUUCCAUCUUGGCUCUUCAGUUCUGUAUCAUU